rnacentral:rRNA from 1 species
UACGGAGGGUGCAAGCGUUGUCCGGAUUUAUUGGGUUUAAAGGGUGUGUAGGCGGUGUAUUAAGUCAGUGGUGAAAGCCUGCGGCUCAACCGUAGAACUGCCAUUGAUACUGACACACUUGAGUAUGGACGAGGUAGGCGGAAUUUAUGGUGUAGCGGUGAAAUGCAUAGAUACCAUAAAGAACACCGAUAGCGAAGGCAGCUUACUAGGCCAUAACUGACGCUGAGGCACGAAAGCGUGGGGAGCGAACAGGAUUAGAAACCCCGGUAGUCC